rnacentral:lncRNA from 1 species
ACAUGAGUUAUGGGUUCUAGGGUUUCAUCUCUAGAUUUUGUGAGAAGAAAAAUACAAGAGUGAGUCUUGUCCAAUCUUCCACACCACCAUCUUCUUGUAAAGCUUCAUCUUGUGAUCUAGAAAAAUCCAGGAGAUUCAAAGAAAGGAGCUUGGAUCAGCUAUCCAGAGCCUUCGAUCCGAGCUAGCACUCCCGUAAAGGAAGAUCCAAUCAGAGCUUUGAGUGGAUGAUCUGUAGAGGUUGG